rnacentral:rRNA from 1 species
UACGGGGGGGGCAAGCGUUGUUCGGAAUUACUGGGCGUAAAGGGCUCGUAGGUGGCCAACUAAGUCAUACGUGAAAUCCCUCAGCUUAACUGGGGAACUGCGCCUGAUACUGGUUGGCUUGAGUUUGGGAGAGGGACGCGGAAUUCCAGGUGUAGCGGUGAAAUGCGUAGAUAUCUGGAGGAACACCGGUGGCGAAGGCGGCGUCCUGGACCAAUACUGACACUGAGAAGCGAAAGCGUGGGGAGCGAACAGG